GUCAUGGUCAAGUCACUGUUAUGCUAGCAGGCUGUUAUUCGACGUAAACAACCGCUACAACUUAUAACAGACUGCACAAGAGAGGACUGUGAGUCAUCUUGAGGUCGAAGGUGAAUAUCUCUAGCUUGGGGUUCAGGAGUUGAAACUGCCAAGCUUCUACUAGUCCUUCCCCCUGAAGGUCAAGACGAACCGGACCAACAUCAUCCUUUGUGGGGACAACCACCAGAUGUGUUAACUUCUAAUCUGAGAAUUUUCAUACUGGCCUUCAUGAUUUUUACCACUACACCAAAAAAUUAAGAUGUACAAGUGUUUUGGGUGCAAAAUGUGCUGUUGCGUGAGAGGUGCUGUAACUGUAAAAAACUGGGCUCCAAUUAAGGCCCGUUAGCCCCAGCCCACCGUCCCUGCAUGCUGUCCAAGUGGACCUGGGGGGCUGGAUACUUACCGCUCCCCAAAGCAACUUUUUGUUAACACCGCUAGGUAUCCAGGUCACUCGAGAAAAGGCUGUGAGAAAGGUCUCUUCUUAGGGCCCUUUGUCAGCCUGGGAACAAGCACAAUUUGAGGGGACUGUCAUUUCCCCCUCUGCCGACCUAAAACAGAGAGUCCAUUGACGAACAAAGCAGCCAUAUAACAACGAGAAACCAGUUGCCAGGUCCUUCAUUCCCCAAGGAUAGACCCCAUAAACUCAACUUGGGCUGAGAGUCGAGACUGGCAGAUGCACAUUUUUGUACAGCAAGCUUCUAACAGCCCUUCCCUCUAAAUUUAAUGUAACAACUGAGCAAACAUCAUCCUUACCAGGGAUAAUUGUCAGGUGCAAGAAGCUCUAGGAUAAGCUAGGUGAACCAUGCCCCGUGAACCCCCUAUCUUGGUUCUGCACUCUCAACCAUGCUAACCAUUUUUAUUUAUUUUUUUCUUUUCUAUCUAUUUUCCAGUGUUUGUUGCCCAUUUCAAACCUCAGUCAAUUACAAUCCUACACGCAUAAGAACCGAAAACCAUUUACCAAUCCACUACCGAACACUGAAGUUCAAGCAUGACCUUUGCCCUCCCAAAAAGACCCCACCUAUCCAGAUCCCUUCCCAUUUUGAGAACUUCUUUAUUUUCUCUAUAAGGGAGUAUUCAGAACAGAGAAUGAAUUUGGAUCAUCGUCCCCUCAUAACCCCCACGACCAUCACAACUCCCAUUUUUCAUCCUUUGUUGUUUUCUUUUGUUAUUAUUUCGUUAUUUUAUACAUGGAGUAACCAAAGCUGGCUUAAUUUGAAUUAUUUUUGUUUCCACGCAUAAACAUUGUUUUCUAAAAAACACAAGCAUGUACAUUCAUGCUGCUCACAAAUUAUUGUAGCCCAGUUUGUGCUGAAUACAAUGUUAUCAGACUUUAGCCAU